rnacentral:rRNA from 1 species
AGUGAACGCUGGCGGUAGGCCUAACACAUGCAAGUCGAACGGCAGCACAGGAGAGCUUGCUCUCUGGGUGGCGAGUGGCGGACGGGUGAGGAAUACAUCGGAAUCUACCUUUUCGUGGGGGAUCACGUAGGGAAACUUACGCUAAUACCGCAUACGACCUACGGGUGAAAGUGGGGGACCGCAAGGCCUCACGCGAUUAGAUGAGCCGAUGUCCGAUUAGCUAGUUGGCGGGGUAAUGGCCCACCAAGGCGACGAUCGGUAGCUGGUCUGAGAGGAUGAUCAGCCACACUGGAACUGAGACACGGUCCAGACUCCUACGGGAGGCAGCAGUGGGGAAUAUUGGACAAUGGGCGCAAGCCUGAUCCAGCCAUACCGCGUGAGUGAAGAAGGCCUUCGGGUUGUAAAGCCCUUUUGUUGGGAAAGAAAUCCUGUCGAUUAAUACUCGGUGGGGAUGACGGUACCCAAAGAACAAGCCCCGGCUAACUUCGUGCCAGCCGCCGCCGUAACAC